rnacentral:rRNA from 1 species
GAAGGCGGCGUGCCUAAUACAUGCAAGUCGAGCGGACAGAAGGGAGCUUGCUCCCGGAUGUUAGCGGCGGACGGGUGAGUAACACGUGGGUAACCUGCCUGUAAGACUGGGAUAACUCCGGGAAACCGGAGCUAAUACCGGAUAGUUCCUUGAACCGCAUGGUUCAAGGAUGAAAGACGGUUUCGGCUGUCACUUACAGAUGGACCCGCGGCGCAUUAGCUAGUUGGUGGGGUAAUGGCUCACCAAGGCGACGAUGCGUAGCCGACCUGAGAGGGUGAUCGGCCACACUGGGACUGAGACACGGCCCAGACUCCUACGGGAGGCAGCAGUAGGGAAUCUUCCGCAAUGGACGAAAGUCUGACGGAGCAACGCCGCGUGAGUGAUGAAGGUUUUCGGAUCGUAAAGCUCUGUUGUUAGGGAAGAACAAGUGCGAGAGUAACUGCUCGCACCUUGACGGUACCUAACCAGAAAGCCACGGCUAACUACGUGCCAGCAGCCGCGGUAAUACGUAGGUGGCAAGCGUUGUCCGGAAUUAUUGGGCGUAAAGGGCUCGCAGGCGGUUUCUUAAGUCUGAUGUGAAAGCCCCCGGCUCAACCGGGGAGGGUCAUUGGAAACUGGGAAACUUGAGUGCAGAAGAGGAGAGUGGAAUUCCACGUGUAGCGGUGAAAUGCGUAGAGAUGUGGAGGAACACCAGUGGCGAAGGCGACUCUCUGGUCUGUAACUGACGCUGAGGAGCGAAAGCGUGGGGAGCGAACAGGAUUAGAUACCUGGG